rnacentral:rRNA from 1 species
UACGUAGGGUGCGAGCGUUAAUCGGAAUUACUGGGCGUAAAGCGUGCGCAGGCGGUUUGCUAAGACAGGUGUGAAAUCCCCGGGCUUAACCUGGGAACUGCGCUUGUUACUGGCAGGCUUGAGUGUGGCAGAGGGGGGUGUAAUUCCACGUGUAGCAGUGAAAUGCGUAGAGAUGUGGAGGAACACCGAUGGCGAAGGCAGCCCCCUGGGCUAACACUGACGCUCAUGCACGAAAGCGUGGGGAGCAAACAGG